GCGCAACUGAGUAGUCUAAUGUAUGUCCGGUUUUGGUUAUUGUGAACGUUGACAUUGAUACGUUGUAAAUUUACACCUCGGCGGCAUAAUAGACAGCACAUAUACUAUGUAGCUUUGCUUCGGUUGAAUGAGAAAAAGUACUCGUUGCCAAGUUAUACUGUUAGGGCGCAACUGAGUAGUCUAAUGUUUGUCCGGUUUUGGUUAUUGUGAACGUUGACAUUGGAACGUUGCAAAUUUACACUCUCGGGGCCUAAUAGAACAAUAUAAUUAGGUUUUACUCUUUUUUCGGUUGAAUGAGAAAAAGUACUCGUUGCAAAGUAAUACUGUUAGGGCGCAACUGAAUGGGCUACUGUUGGUUUGGUUUUGGUUUAUGUGAAAGUUGACAUCUAUAAGUUGCAAAUUUACACUCUCGGGGAAUAAUAGAAUAAUAUAAAUAGGUUUAACUCUUUGUUCGAUUGAAUGAGAAAAAGCACUGUUUGCAAAGUUAUACUGUCAGGGCGCAACUAAGUAGGCUACUGUUGGUCUGGUUUUGAUUUGUGUGAACGUUGACAUCGGUACGUUGCUAAUUUACACCCUCGGGGCAUAAUAAAAUAAUAUAAUUGUGUUUUACUCUUCGUUCAGUUGAAUAAGAAAAAGUUCUCGUUGCCAAGUUAUGCUGUUAGGGCACAAACGGAGUAGUCAAAUAUUUGUCUGGUUUUGGUCUUUGUGAAUGUUGACGUUGAUAACUUGCAAAUUUGCGCUCUCGGGGUAUAAUAGACCAAUAUAAUUGGGUUUUACUCAUAGUUCGGCUGAAGGAGAAAAAGUACUCGUUGAAAAGUUAUACUGUAUGUACGCAACAGAGUAGUCUAUUGUUGGUCCGGUUUUGGUUUUUGUGAUCUUUGACAUCGAUGCGUUUCAAAUUUACACACUCGGGGCAUAAUAAAAUAAUAUAAUUAGGUUUUACUCUUUGUUCGCAAGAAUGAGAAAAAGUACUCAUUGCAAAGUUAUAAUCUUAUGGAGCAACUGAGCAGUCUAAUGUUUUUCCGGUUUUUGUUCUUCCGAACAUUGACAUCGAUAUGUUGCAAAUUUACACUCUCGGGGCAUAAUAGAAUAAUAAAAUUAGGUUUUACUCUUUGUUCGUUUGAACGAUAAAAAGUACUCAUUGCAAAGUUAUAAUCUCAUGGAGCAACUGAGCAGUCUAAUAUUUUUCCAGUUUUGGUACUUGUGAACGUUGACAUCGAUAAGUUGAAAAUUUACACUCUCGGGGAAUAAUGGACCAAUAUAAUUAGGUUUUACCCUUUGUUCGGUUGAAGGAGAAAAUGUACUCGUUGAAAAGUUAUACUAUUAGGGCGCAACAGAGAAGUCUAAUGUUGGUCCGGUUUUAGUUCUUGUGAACGUUGACAUCGAUACGUUGCAAAUUUACACUCUCGGGGCAUAUUAAAAUAUUAUAAUUAGGUUUUACUCGUUGUUCGUUUGAAUGAGAAAAAGUACUCAUUGCAAAGUUAUAAUCUUAUGGAGCAACUGAGCAGUCUAAUAUUUUUCCGGUUUUGGUUCUUCUAACAUUGACAUCGAUACGUUGCAAAUUUACACUCUCGGGGCAUAAUAGAACAAUAUAAUUAGGAUUUACUCUUUGUUCGAUUGAAUGAGAAAAAGUGCUCGUUGCAAAGUUAUACUGUUAGGGCGCCACUGAGUAGUCUUCUGUAGGUCUGGUUUUGGUUUAUGUGCAUGUUGACAUUGAUACAUUGCAAAUUUAUACAUUCGGGGCAUAAUAUAACAAUAUAAUUAGGUUUUACUCUUCGUUCGGUUGAAUGAGAAAAAGUACUCGUUGCCAAGUUAUACUGUUAGGGCGCAACUGAGUAGUCUAAUGUAUGUCCGGUUUUGGUUAUUGUGAACGUUGACAUUGAUACGUUGUAAAUUUACACUCUCGGGGCAUAAUAGAACAAUAUAAUUAGGUUUUACUCUUUGUUCGGUUGAAUGAGAAAAAGUACUCGUUGCAAAGUUAUACUGUUAGGGCGCAACUGAGUGGGCUACAGUUGGUCUGGUUUUGGUUUAUGUGAAAGUUGACAUCGAUAAGUUGCAAAUUUACACUCUCGGGGCAUAAUAGAAUAAUAUAAAUAGGUUUAACUCUUUGUUCGAUUGAAUGAGAAAAAGCACUGUUUGCAAAGUUAUACUGUUAGGGCGCAACUAAGAAGGCUACUGUUGGUCUGGUUUUGGUUAACGUGAACGUUGACAUCGAUACGUUGCUAAUUUACACACUCGGGGCAUAAUAAAACAAUAUAAUUAGGUUUUACUUUUCGUUCGGUUGAAUGAGAAAAAGUACUCGUUGCCAAGUUAUACUGUUAGGGCGCAACUGAGUUGUCUAAUGUUUGUCCGGUUUUGGUUAUUGUGAACGUUGA
rnacentral:lncRNA from 1 species